CUGGUGUCAUACGGGUUUUUCUUCUAUUGUUAGAUCACAACUGGGCUCCCUGGAUUCUCUGACAAUGCCACAAUUGGCAGCAUCACUGGCUCUUAGCUACUGAAAACGUAACAGAGAUGAGUCUUGCAACAAGAAAUCAAUGUGAUGGAUAAUAGGCAGGAAAAGCAGCCCCCACAGAAUAAGGGAAGGCCCCACUGAGUCUAAUUUUCAUUGACCCAGUUUCACUGUCAAAGCACAGAACAUAGCAAGAUAGAGUGACCUCCAGAGUCAAAAAGCUUCAGACUACACUGCAAAUGAAGCCACCACGGACUGCCUCUCUCUUUGUCCACAAGCCCAUGGAUGUUAACCACCAGUGAGUGAGUGACAAAGAGAAUUCUCACCUUAGAAAGGAGCAGUUGAAUCCACUCAUCAUUUAAGACAGGCAGUGAGUGAUGAUGGCUGCACUAGCAUCCUGAGGAGGAAAUUAAAGCAUUCGUCGAGGGCCUGACUCAGGAACGGGUGGAGGAAUGGAUUAUGUCAGCCACAGGAGACUAAGAGCAAGGGGAGUUGUGAAAAUGAAUAAAAUGGCUGAACUCCCCAUCUGGGUCAAGGCGAUGGGGAGCAUGGCAUGGUGCGAUGUAGAAGUAAGGUCCCCUGUGAGCCGGAGAAGACAUGGGCAGGAAAACCCAUACCAAAACCUUCCAUAAAUCUCGAGGAAGAGUUGGGUAAGGUGGCUCACGCCU
rnacentral:lncRNA from 1 species